CUUAACACAUGCAAGCUCGAGGGGUAACGGGCAUCAGUGCUUGCACUGUUGUGCUGACGACCGGCGCACGGGUGAGUAACGCGUAUCCAACCUUCCCAUGAGUAGUGCAUAGCCCGGCGAAAGUCGGAUUAAUUCACUAUAUGUGGCAUUUCGGCAUCUUUAUGUCACGAAAGAUUCAUCGCUCAUGGAUGGGGAUGCGUCUGAUUAGGCAGUCGGCGGGGUAACGGCCCACCGAGCCAUCGAUCAGUCGGGGUUCUGAGAGGAAGGUCCCCCACACUGGUACUGAGACACGGACCAGACUCCUACGGGAGGCAGCAGUGAGGAAUAUUGGUCAAUGGGCGCAAGCCUGAACCAGCCAAGUAGCGUGCAGGAUGACUGCCCUAUGGGUUGUAAACUGCUUUUGUACGGGGGUAAAGUGUGUCACUUGUGGCAUAUUGCAAGUACCGUACGAAUAAUGACCGGCUAAUUCCGUGCCAGCAGCCGCGGUAAUACGGAAGGUCAGGGCGUUAUCCGGAUUUAUUGGGUUUAAAGGGAGCGUAGGCCGCCGGUUAAGCGUGUUGUGAAAAGCAGUGGCUCAACCACUGUCGUGCAGCGCGAACUGUCCGGCUUGAGUAUCAUGAAAGGUUGCGGAAUUCGUGGUGUAGCGGUGAAAUGCUUAGAUAUCACGAAGACCUCCGAUUGCGAAGGCAGCAGCCUGUGUGUUCACUGACGCUGAAGCUCGAAGGUGCGGGUAUCGAACAGGAUUAGAUACCCUGGUAGUCCCACGGUAACGAUGAUGCUCGUUGUUCGUGUUUUUAUGCUGAGUGACUACGAAGCGUAA
rnacentral:rRNA from 1 species